ACCUUAUUUAAGCUCUAUGCUUAAAUGGCAGAAACUAGUAUCAUGUCUAAGUAUUUGUAAUAAAGCUAGCAGAGUAGACACAAGAAGAUAAACAGCUAUACCAGAUAGUAGAAAAACUAAGAUGAACCUCUUUCUUAAGUCCAAGGUACUUUGUUCUAAGACUAGUACAAUAAUA
rnacentral:snoRNA from 1 species